UUGUGGUUUCUUUGUUUACCUACGUUUCCUCAUUAUUUUCAUUGUUAAUGCCUUCCUAGCACAACAGUUUUGGUAGAAUUCUUUAAUGGUGAUUUCAUAAUCGCUUUACUCACAUAAUACGGCUGCUUGUCAAAGUAACAAUCGCAGCAGUGUGGUUGAUCAAAGGCUUUAAUUCUAAGGUCAAAAGUUAGACGACAUUCCAGUCAUCGAAACUGAGUACUUCGAACAGCAGCGAGACAUGGUAUUCCAGCACAACGGCGCUCCCGUACAUUUAGCUCGCAGUGUACGAGCGCAUUUUGACAUAAGAUUUCAGGAGGCUGGAACGGACGCUUGGGACCGAUACCUUGGCCUGCCCGUUCCCCUGAAAUUACCCCAUUUUACUUUUUUUUGGGGGUUUUGUAAAAGACAGAGUUUAUUUAACGGAUUGUCAUAGCGUGGAGGAAAUGGAACAGGUGUCAAUAACGCCUACUAUGAUGCUAAAUGCAACACAGGCCAUAUCAAGACGGGUAAGAAUAUACAUGCAGCACGGAGGACGUAAUUUUGAGCCACUUUUGUAGGACUCCUUAUUGAGCGCCAUUGGAUCAAUGGCAUGAACAAGGAUGUGUCGGAAGAAUUAAGAUUGGAGGUGUGCCCAGACAAUAUUCGCUAUGUUGAGUAUCCGUAAAAGAUGCCUUUAAAUUAUAAAACAUAAAGUUGGCACCACCAUGUAUACCCACUUUUGAAGAGCAUACAAUUACUUGGCAGAGCAAGAGCACACCCAAUAGGAGGUGAAUCACUCCGACCCCGACAACCCAUUUGUGGCUGAAGACGGGACUCAUUGGAUAGGGUGGGAUAAGACAGCAAGUCAGAUGCUAAAGUGGUGACGCAGGUGUUACAGUAAGGUGUU